ensembl:lncRNA
GUAGAUCUGGGGUGGGGCCUGAGAAUCUACAUUCCUAACAAGGUCUCAGGAGCAGCUGAUGCAGCUGGUCCGGGCACCGCAUUUUGAGGCCCACAGUCCAAAGCAACCCUGACGGACACAGGAUCCAGGGUUAGGGGACCAGGCUUCAAGCUUGAUGCUGCUACAAGAGGCUGUGUGGACUCAGAUGAGAAAAUGGAGCAACAAGUUCAUGAAGAUUUAAAAUAAGGCACCUCUGAGAAUUCAAAUCUGUUACCCAGGGCCACCAUGUUGAACACUACCCGGGUUGCACAUUGUAUAACUUUCUGCUGCAUCAUCCACAUAAACUAGGAUUUAAACGGCGCCCCUUGGAUUUGUGCAUCAUGGCAGGCCAUCAUCCAUUCAAAUUAAGAACACGGAAAAGGAUACCGAUGUGUUAAACCACCAAAGAACAUUGAAAACUAGUCUAUUGUUGUAGAUGUGAUUAAGGUGUUUGUGGUGUUAAAGGUAAUACGGCUCUUAAUACUUUGCCUAGAAUUGAAAGUUGAUUUGAAGUUUUAAUAUGGCCGCUGCCCCAAAGAUGAGUCAUUGUUUUAGUUCUAUUCAUAGUGAACAUUUCGUUAUUUUGGAAAAGAACGUAGAGAAGGAAAGAGAAUCAAAGUGGGCUCUACCUCAUAGAGCUGUAAAGACUGGAUCCUUGGUACAGAGCUGUACUCAUGAUGAGCGCUCUGUAAGAAGGAGCUAGCAAAGUUAGUGUUAGCAUGACUUUUGGACUAUUCCAGAAGAUGUAAAGAGAAGAAGGUGGAUAUGAUUCUAGCAUCAAAAUAAAACAGACACGCAGAGUGUUUUCUGAGUUUAACAACCUUAACAAGUUUCUCUAUGCUCAUCUAAAGAAAUAUUGCAUGUCCUCUUCAUCCUUCUUCUUGUGCCUUCUUGCUAACUUUGUCUUUCCACCUUUGCAAUCUUUAUGCCACACACACUACCAAGAAUUACACAUACAGAUGAACAGAUACCAGCGUAAAAACACAGGAAAAGGUAAAGCUCCUUGCCUCUCAGUGACUAGAGGUGUGCCUCUAGGCCCAAGGCUGCAUGUCAUGUUGCUCACGGGCAGGUCAUGUCAGUCCAUUGACAUAUUCAUCAACUCAAUUAUUAAUUCAUUUGCCAAAUAUUUUUAAUGCCUAGUAUAUGCCAUUCCAGUCUCUGAGGAUGUGAUGACAAAUAUGACACAGUCCUUGUCCUUAAGGUGUCCCUAUUAAGUGAAUGAGUUUACAUAAAAACUCUAUAUUUUAUGAAUGGAGAUACAUCAGUAUUCUAGAAAGAAGAUGCAGUAUGUCCCCAUAGUGGCAUCCUUCCACCUAUCCCCCAAAAACCUCUUGACGUAUAUAUCAAAGCAAAAAUAUAUUAAUCAGUAUUUUAGUUGUUUAUUGUAUAAGCACACAUAUUGCCUCUCUCUCAUAUCCUUGUCAUGGAUUAGAAUGACAAGGCUUAAAGCCCAUGGGCUCCAGGUAACUCUCCCCUACCCCCAACUUUCCCUUCAGUCUGCUCUACCUGUUGUGUAGAGUUAGUCUUUCCUAGAGGGUCAUUUAGCCAGAACUCCUGUUUAGAGGAAUGCUGAAAAGAAGGGUAGCAUCGCAGGAACUUAAAUGUAGCGAUUCUUUAAGACUGGAGAGUUAUAUAAGAGUUUCCUUCUCAACUGAAAGAGGAAAGGUCUUUUAGCGGGUGGUGGGGAUAGUGAAAGGUGAACAAUUGCAGAACACAGUCAAUUUAAUUUAACAUGCAUGUCUCACAUCCUAUUCUGUGCAAAGUGCUAUAUUCUUAUGUGAGUAUGAAAGUGACUAUGACCUGCCCUUCCAGGUAGGGUGUUCCUUAACUCUUGGACAUAGGGAGAAAUACACUUGUAAUUUCUAACAAAGUCAGGCAGGUGCUAGUGAAGAGAGAUAACCAUAGCUCAAUCAUCUGGAGAACUGGGAAAGCAAAGGUUAAGUUUAACAAAAAUUAAUGUAUAUAUUCUGAUUUAGGUAAAUAUUAGGGUGUAUCCCUAUUUCUACCUGCUUCCUGUGCCUUCUCUACAAUGGGCUUUACUCUUUAAAUGUUUAAUUAAGAACAUGAGAAAGAAGUGAUAAGACUUGAUAAACAUAUACUGUAUGCAACCACCAUCACAAACACAGCAUAGAACAGUUCCCUCACCCCAAAAUGUCCCCAUGUGCCUAUUUGCAUUGCAGUCCAUACCCUCUCCUCACCCAUUGUCUACUGACAAUCACUUUUAUCACUAUAGUUUUGCCUUUUCUACAACUUCAAAUAAAUGGAAUUAUAGGUAGUCUUUUGUUUCUGGCUUUUUUCUUUCUUUUCUUUUCCUCCCCUCAAAAUCCCCCAGUACAUAAUUGUAUAUUCUAGUUGUAGGUCCUUCUGGUUCUGCUGUGUGGGACACUGCCUUAGCGUGGCUUGAUGAGCAGUACUAGGUCCAUACCCCGGAUCCGAACUGGUGAAACCCCGGGCUGCUGAAGCUGAGCACGGAAACUUAACCACUGGCCAUGGAGCCAGUCCCUGGAUUUUUCACUUAGCAUAAUGCUGUUGAGAUUCAUUCAUGUUGUGAGUAUCUGUAGUUUGAAUUAUUUUAUUGAUGAGUAGUGUUCUGUCGUAUGGAUAUACAAUUUCUUGGCCCAAUCACCAGAUGAUGGACACUUGGGUGCCUUCCACUUUUAGGCCACUGUGAAUAAGAUGCAAUAAAUAUCCAGUUCACAUUUACAUCUUUAUAUGGCCAUAGGUUUUCAUUUCUCUUGGGUCUAGGACUGAGACCUCUGGGUCAUAUGGUAGGUGCACGUUUAACUCUUUGAGAACUUGAUGAACUGUUUUACAAAAUGGCUGUAUCAUUUUGUACUGCUACCAGCAGUGUGUGAGUUCCUGCUGUUUUGCAUCCUUGGCAACAUUUCCUGUUGUUAGCCAUUCAUUUUAGCCAUUCUGUUGCAUGCAUGGUAGUAUCUUAUUGUGGUUUUAAUUUGCAUUUCUCUGAUAUGAAUGUCUUUUCAAGGGCUUGUUUGCUACCCACAUAUAUUCUUUGGUGAAGUGUCUGUUUAAAACAAAUGUAUACAAUAGAAAUUUGUGCUAGACACUUGCUGUGGACCGAUUGUGUCCCCCUCGAAUUCAUAUGUUGAAGUGCUAAGCCCCAGUGAAUCUGUAUUGGAGAUCGGCCCUAUAAGGAGGUAGUCAAGGUUAAAGAAGUCAUAGGGUUGGCCCUAAAAUGAGAGGAUUAGAGUCCUUAUAAGAAGAAACACCAGACAGAUCACUCUCUCCCCCUCUCCAUCACGUGAGGACAUGGUGAGAAGGCAGCCAUCUAUAAGCCAGGCACUGUGCCCUCACCAGAAACUGAAUUGCCUGACACCUUAAUCUUGGAUUUUCCAGCCUCUAGAACUACGAAUAAAUAAAUUUCUGAUGCUUAAGCCACUCCUUAGAGUAUUUUGUCACAGCAGCCUGAGCAGAAUGAUAUAACACUGGAGAAAUUUUGGAGUCUGAAUGCUAUAGAAACUUUUAAGAUAUUGGCAUAAAUAUUAGUGUUAAUCUGAAAAAGAUCCAGAAAUGAAUUCUGAUUCUUCCAAUUACAAGGCAUGUGAAUUUUGGCAAGUUACUUCAUUUAUCAGAGCCUCAGUUUCCUCAUCUGUACAAAUGCAAAUAUUAUAUCUGCUUCCUAGAUUUUCUGGAGAGAAUUAAAUAAAAAAUAUGUCUAGUACACCUAGUGUAGUACCUGGCAUGAGCUGGUGUUCAGUAGAGAACAUUAGGUUCCUCCCUUACCCUAAAACAGCAGUACCUAAACUAAACUCUGCUCCACUGCUUCCUGAAUGCUCUUGGAAUGACUCAGCAGAGAAAGGUUGUGGAUACCUUCAUGUGUAUUUUAUAUAAUAUCCCCAAGAGGUAAUACUGCCUGGGUAGGAGUGUUAGUUUAACCUUCAACCCCAAAUUUAAAAACGGCCUACUUACUUAAUUUUGAACUUACAUCUUCCAGAAGCAAUGAUAGCCACCUUUCCCCUCCCUCAUAGGAGAAAGGUAAAAUAAUUUCACUUAUUUCGUCAUCCAACAAAACUGGAAGGAAGUUUAUUUUUUCCAAUGUACAAAUGGGGAAAAUGAGGCUGAGAAUGGUUAAGGGAACUUCUCAAUGUCACAGAACUAAUAAAUGUCCUACAGGGGACUCAAGUCAGAGGCUGCUUGUUGACAAAGCCCCCAUUCCUUCCCCAGCACCACAGUGUUUGUUGUAAACCUUGAAGGCUGCUUCUGGAAAUGGCUGGAGAAGGAGGGCAAUGUUUCAUGCGUCAGGCCCACAGUCGUGUCCAGCGUGUUUCCUAAGGUGGAUUUUCCACUUGGUCCCUCCUUCCCUUCAGCAGGAAGAUGUGAAACAGCCACAAUUUAGCCCCAGGUGCUCUUGGCUCAGCAGAAGGAGUUCUUGGAAAGCUGGCAUGGAUGUUUCUCUGUCCCACACUUACAGUAAUUACAAAUAAGGGUUACUUUAUGUGGUUGCUCCCACCCUAUAAUCUUGUUUUCAGUUGCCAAGAUUAGUAAAUUUGAGCUUUGAUCACUGGGUUGGAUUGCAAGUCUAGAGUUAUUUUGAUCGUAACUUCUCUGAAUUUCAAAAUUAAUUUUAAAUAUUCAUUGUUGCCAUACAUCAGUUUCAGAAUUUGCUAGCCUGAUUUCAACUAUCCAUCCUCUAUCUCUUUCAGUGGACCUUUGGAAGCCUUUGUGAUUAAGAUCUUUAGUUUUGUUUUUCCUUUUGUUUUUUUUCCUUCUUUUUCUUCCUUCCUUCCUUCUUUCUUUCUUUCUUAUUUUCCUUCCUUCCUCCCUCCCUUUUUUUCUUUUUUUGAAGUCAAGCUGAAUUGAAUUAUGUAAAGACUUAAGAGGCAAUAUUUGCAAAUAGACCUAUAAUUAUCUUAAAAGUAAACGAAAAAGCUAUUUAUACCAGCAGUCACUGAAAUAUACAUGUUUAGAGUGGAAAACAUUAGUAAUAUGGAGAUGAUCCAUAAAAUAAGACGGCAUCUCCAGGUAUUAAGACAGAACUGUAUUAGCUAGAUUUUAAAAGAAAACUUUGAGAUUGAAGAUAUGUGAUAUUCAAUCCCUAUUAAAAGAGCUCUUAAAGUGAAUCCUUAAGCUAUCUUGUAUUUAUCAAGCUCAAAUAAACUGACCAUGGAUUUAACUCUGUGCUAUGGGGUUGCCAGACAAAUAAUCAAGACCUUAAGGCCUGUGAGAAUAAGAUGGUGGCUAGCUUAUCCUUGUUUCUCCAAAGGAUCUGGCACAGAAAAGAUACUUAGUAAAUAUCUGUUGAAUGAAGGCCAAGUUGGUUGCAAAGGUAAAAAUUACAUACGUGAAACGAAUCUUUUGGGACUUUGUGGUGUAUCAGUUAGAAAUGUGCUGGUUGCAGCAGCAGAAAAACCAACAAAAUAAAGUUGCUAAAACUAAAGGGAAUGCAUUGCUUCACAAAAGGCCCAUCCCUAUGGCCUUGUGGAUAAAACCCGGCAACUGGCUUAGCCCUAGUCUUGUGCUCCGACUCUUGAGCCAGCUUGUGGCAUCAAGUCCCCUAGAACAAGUUGGGGGAUGGAAAGAAGAAGGAAGUGUGCUGGAUGACAAAGACAAGAAAUCUCGAAGUGCAUGCCGGGGGUAUGUUGAGUGCUGCAAUUCUUCAAAGAGGCGGAGGGCAUCUGGGUGGAUGUGAUGAGAAUACUUUACAGAGAGGCCAUAUUUGUGUCUGGUACAUAGACUGAAUUUAUGUAAUUUUACAAUAAAGUAAGAUAAAGUUAUUUUGCAAGAACUUUGACAGAAACUUGGAAAAUCAAAAAAAGCAAAUAAAAAUUUUACUGUAAGGUACAUGUAACCACCACUGUUAUUUGACAUAUUUACUUGUACUUAAAAAUUCAUGCUAAUAUAUACAAGUAAAAUAACAUAUGUAAUGUGUGUAUGUAUAUGCAUAAACAUAUGCUUAUAUAAUUAGGAUCGUAACAUAAUUCUAUUUGUUUAUAUUACCUAAUUAGGAUCAAGGUAUAUAUACAUUUUUUGGUGCUACUUUUUCACUUAAUAUUAUAUUUAGGAAUUUUCUUAAUUCAUUGACAAUUCUUCUAAAAUUAUUUUUGAUUGUUGAAUUACAUAAUCUAUAGAAAUUAAGAAGUAGGGAGGAUAAGAGACGCAAAGAAAACUUAGGGCAUUUUCAUGGGAUAUUACAUAGUCUUGUGGAGAAAGAUAUAAUUUGGAGAGAUAGAAUGAACCCUAAAGUUAGGCAAAAAGAUAAAGUGGGUUCUUGAAAAUCAAGUAGAGAAGUUUAGAUUUGAUACUGUAGGAAAAGGAAAAUCUUCAAAGUUUUUUCCUCAGAGGUUCUUAUGAUUUGAGUUAAGCUAACAGUAGGUUAAUCAGCCAAAAUUAUUCAGGAUCAAUAUGAGGAAGCACAUAGAUUUUUUAUUUUGAGAUCAGAAAGAGAAGGGAAUUAAAGCAUGUUGCUUUCCCACUUUCCCACUGUGUGCCACGCACCAUGCUAGAUGUCCUAUGUAAGAAACACAACAUGUGUUCUCCCAUAGGAUGGGAGAAUUGAGCAAUGCUGUGUUCAAAUCCCGUAUCUGCCACAUCUAGUGUGAUCUAGGGUGUAGGACUUAACUUCUCUGAGCAUGAGUCUCUUCACUUGAAAACAGGGAUGGUAAAGCUUACGUCACAGAACUGUGGUGAAUUCUGAAUAGCAUAUGUAACAUGCUUUGUACAGCAUGCACAAAAAUAAUGCCUAUUUGUCUUCCUUUUCCUCCACAAAUGAUGAUGGGAUAUGACAGGAAAAAUGGUUCUCAAAGUUGGCUUCACAAUGGAAUUUGACUGGCUUUAAAACCCACUGAUGUCUGAGCCCCACAUCAGAGGUCUGUGGGAGUGUGGAAGACUUGAAAAUCUUCCCAGGUGAUUCUAAUGCGCAUUCAAGAUUGAGAAACUCUGGACCAAAAGUUCAAGGAAAGAACAAAUCCCACACAGUUUAUGUGGGGAGUUGCAGUGCACCCUGACCAAGGAGAAGGAUGACGGAAGGCCAAUGGUGGAUGUGUUCCCUAUCUGAGAACACCACAGAAGUGAUCUGGACAUCAUUACAUCCCACAGCAUCUCAGCGGCACUAUGAAGCUGUGUGAGUCAAGGCAGACAGAAUGCCUCACGCAGCGAUGGGCACGAACACGUGACUUCUAGCCAAUGGAAUGUUAGUGGAAGGAUGUGUCGGAUAAAAAUCUCUGAUGAGUGAUCCUCCAUGCUGAUUUCCCAAAUGCCAACCGAAUGUAGAGGUUUCCAAGGCCUAAGAGGAGGACAGAAUCACGCAAUAGGAGUCUGGACCCUCAAAUUGCCAUGAGGAAGGCUGUGUUCGAACCAAGAACACCUGUGUGGGACUUUACAGAAGUAAAAAUAAACUUUUUUGUAUGUUAAGUCACUGAAGUUUCAUGGUUUGUUUAUUACAGCACUUAGUAUUACCCUAAUUAAUGCGAGGAUCAAGUGGGGAAAAAAUGGAUUUAAAAACAUUAUGCAAACUCUAAAAUACUGUACAGAUUUAAGGGUUUUUACUGGCUUUGGUUGUGUAAAGUCUUGGGAGUAAGUGCUAAAGUUAUGUUGAAAUAAAAUACUAUUAACAGAUAUUUAUUCAAUGCUUACUAGAGGAUGCAAAUCUUAUGUAGCUUAUCUAAUUUGUUCCUCUUGGCCACCUUAAGUAGAUGUCUUUCUUUAUUGUCAUUUUUACAGUUGAAGAAAGUAAACUUCAGAGAAAUGAAGUCACUUACCUGAAAUCAUACAACUACCAAGGGCUGAGGGCUUUCAUUAAAGUUUUAUUUUUUUGUUUUCCAAAUCUACUUUUGCACCCUAUUAUAGUAUUCAAAAAUUUUAAACUUCUUCUAGAAGAAAGCCAGACUGUUUAUUCUACUCCCUCUAUACCAAAGGAACAGCAGAUAGAUGUGCACAUGGAACAUUCUGUUCAUUCCAAUAAGUCUGAAAAUCCUGAUGUUGGAGAUGACAUUCUUUGAAGUCGUUUUCCAAGUGUAGGCAGCUACUUUUCACUCAAAACUAUGCAGUUCAAGUAAUUGAGUUCUCAAUUUUCUUGCAUUAAAAGUAACCUAGGGCGGCCAAAACCUUGGGUAGAUGAAGGGUUUUCCCCCCUCUUCUGUUUUCCUCAAGCUUCAAAAAUGCACUUGCCAAAAUAAUGUGAUUUGAGCUGCUCUUUAAAUAUUUUUACCAGGUGAGGAAUUGCUGGUACAUUCCAUCUUGUCAGUAAUGAUUUCACAUUUGUCACUCUCAUCGGGUAGACUGUCCACGGACUGCGGACCAUUUUCACACUCAUUUUGGAUACUGUUUGGUGUUAUUUUCAUUCAAGGGCAGGCUUGGAACCAAGCAGAUUAUUUCAUAGACUUGGAAACUAUAGGGGGAUGUAACGAAUCUUAGCCUUGAUCUGGGGCAUUUCUGAUGCAAAGCUUUGUCUAUCAAAAAAAUCUGCUCAUUAUAUAACCAAAGAGUGAGGGGACUUGACCAUUUCCCUCUGGUUCAGAGACCCAAGCCUCAUCCCUUUGUCCACAGGUAGUUGUAGAUGCCUUCCUCUGACUUGAGAAUUCUGGCUUGCUUAAACUUUCUGCUGUUCAGAUAAAAAACAGCAGCAAUUUUCUGCUUGAAUUUCUCUGUGACUAAGUCCAUUGAUCAUCCUUUCUCUCUGUGAGUGAGAAGUGUGUUUUCUCCUUAAUAACUCCUAUCCUUCUCCCUGGAUUUUUUUUUUCCCCCUUCGCUUGUUUGUGUUGUGUUGGUCAGUCCUACGCGCUAUUCCUCUGAGAGACAGAGAGCGCGCAAAAUUGAAGUUAUUUUAUGCUUGGGCUCCCUCGGUCCCAAUUUUCAAAUCUUCAUGUCAAUUUUCACACAUCAGUGUCAUGUGGUGAAUGUUAUGGAAAUUUCAGUGGGGUCCUUGGGAGGAAAUUUAUACACGGAUCCCUCCCCCACAACACUAUCCGGCUGCAAUUCCUGUCUUUUCUAAGAAUAAGUGGAUCUAUAAUUAAUGUGGAUUUUAAAAUAUAACGGCAUUCAGAAUUCUCAUAGCAGGUUUUCGACGCCAUGUCUUCUUUGCAGUAUAAACACAAAAGCAUAAAUGCUUGCUAGCUCUCUCUCCUAAUAAAUGGGCUUGUGUAAAAGGAAUAAAAAUUACAGUUUGUUGGCUGUAAAGAGCAACUAAUUACUCAGGAAGAAGCAUGUUUUUAUUUUUCAAAACUGCACUGAAAAUGGUUUAUCAUGCAAUAAAUUUGCUAAUCACCAGUUAGGAAACACAGCGCCAUCACCACCUACCCACAGCGGCUUCCUUUGAAAGUUGGUAUGUUACAGUUUGGAUAGGAAAUUAUAUCCUUUUGAAAAUGAACAUGACAGAAGACGUUCACUGAAUAGCUUAAAACUCCUCAGCAGUCAGAAUUCAAACUGCAUAAACAAGAGUGUGGAUAUUGGUGCCAACAGACAGCAACUACUGACCUUGGAUUUGCUUGGUGAGCAGACCACCCAGGACCCCUUCUCAUGAAGACAGGUAUUCAUUUCCUUUUGCUCUUUCCCUUUUAACAGUGAAAGUGGAAGACCCCCAAAUGAAGAAUACAAGGUUGGCCUUAAUUUUUUCACUUUCCUUUUCUUCAGCCCCUCGCCAUCCUAUAAAUGUUAAUUUCUUAUAGAUUUGCCUUACAUUUUUCCAGAAGAACCUGGAGAACUGUCUUCUCAUCCAGAACUGUAGGAGUCCAGCUUGAUGAACUUGAAACCAUACAAACCAGUAACAGGAAUAUCUUAUCCCUGCUGCUGGCCCACUCUCUUGCUUCGAAGGUACUUGGCAAUGACUUUCGUAUUGUUCUCCCCAGAAAGGACAUCCAUGGACAUCCUCAUCAAUGAUCAUUGCUGUCUUCCCCUGUCUCCAUGUUUUUCUUGCCAUUACUCUGUCAUAUUUCCUUCUAAGACUUCUUAAUAUUAAAAAUUAUCUCAUUGAUUUGUGUGUUUAUUGACUUAUUAUCUGGUUCGCCACUGGCAGGUACCUUCAGUGAAAGAGGAAACCUUGUGUUCUUUUUGUUGUUGUUGUUGUUUUUUGAGGAAGAUUAGCCCUGAGCUAACUGCUGCCAAUCCUCUUCUUUUCGCUGAGGAAGGCUGGCCCUGAGCUAACAUCAAUGCCCAUCUUCCUCUACUUUAUAUGUGGGAUGCCUACCACAGCAUGGCGUGCCAAGCAAUGCUGUGUCCACACCCGUGAUAUGAACUGGCGAACCCCAGGCUGCUGAAGUGGAACGUGUGCACUUAACUGCUGUGCCACUGGGCUGCUCCCGAAACAUUCUGUUUUGAUCAGCUCAGUAUCACCAGAUCUUGGUCAGACGUCGGGCACAGAGUAAUUUUCAAUGUAUACUGAAGGGUUCAACAAAUGAAUGAAUGAAUGAAUGGACAUUUUGGUUUUUCAUCCCUACCUCAAAAAGCACAGCAUUCAUUAACCAUGAUGUAGCUGACUUGCCACCCCUCAAACAUAGGGGUAUCUAGAGGUAAGGCACCUUUGGGUUUAAAAGUUGGGAGGAGGUGUUUGUUUAAGCUUUCCUUUUGACUAGAAGGAAGGAACAGUAAAUUUUGUGGUCAACUUUCCUUUCUUUGGAGAAAAUGCAUUGUGUGGGAAGCUGGUUAUUAGGUCUGAUUGGUGGAAGGUCACCAGGUCACCAGCCCUGGCUUGCAAUGGCCUGGUGUCUAAGGAGAAGACACUCACAGGCCAGGAGACUCCAGUGGCAGCACUCCCACCGGUGGCCCCACACAAUGGAGUCUUGGAUCAGUACCUUUCUUAGAUGUACAACUGUGAGCAACUCACUCAAUUUCUUCAGUUCUCAGUUGUCUUGCCUGAAAAUCACCAUAUAACCCCCUACCUCACCUAGAGUUAUUAGAAUUAAAUAAAAACACGUGUCCAACACUAUUUUGUAAACUACUGAGGGCCAUACAAAUAUUUUGGCUGGUUUGAUAUAGAAGAAAUGGUCAAGGAUAUAUUAAAAAUGAAAAGACUGUUCUUUUGUGUGACAAUUUUUGUCCCGUCUGUACUAUAAGAAAGAUAGGUAAGAAAGUCACCAUUUUAUAGAUCAAUAAACUGAGGACUAGGGAAGCUGUGUCAUGCUUAGCAUCAUAGAUAAUACUGUCUAUCUUUGCAUCUGGAACAGGCCCCAGAUCUCUAGAUGAUUAGUGCGGUAAUUUUGUUUCUAGAUGGUUGCAGUAAUUUCUGGUUCUCUUUCCACAGGAGCUGUCGCUGGGGGCACUGGUUCAUCAGAGCAAUGCUGUGGUUGGGUCUUGGGCCUGAGAGUCGAUCAGCCAAGUUAACAGGUUUGGCUUGACAUGGCCGAGUCGGAGGACAAGCACACAUCUGAGUCCAGAAGAAAAGCAUCAAGAACAACUCUAAAUUCAAGGACAAACUUGGAUCAGGAAUGGCAAAUCAAGUCAAAUACUAGAGUCCGGAAGAAGGUAUUUUUAGAAAGAGAGGCAGACAGAAUAGCCAGGACAAUGCAAAGAGGGUCCAGAACUUUCCACAUCAAUAACCCUGAGAUGCCCCAACAUUGCGGUUGCGGGUAUGGUAGGCUAUAUAUUGAAUAAGUGGCCCAGGCUGAUCCAAAGGUAUGGGGCAGCAAUAGGAACUAUGCUUCUCCAUAGAUUCUUCCAUAAAGACAGGAGCCUUUUAUUAGUUUGAGGGGCUUCCUGUAGUAAAAGAGUUAUGGGAGAGGCAGUAGCAAAGACACACCCCUUGACCACAAUGUUGCCCCCACCCCAAAGGAAGACUUUCCUAGAGUGGAUUUGAUGUCUAUGGACAUAACCUGAAAAAGACAAAUCGUUUUGGGAAACACUAGUUUGAAGAAAAUUAGAUGCAGGAUUUCUCAGAGCCUUUAAUAGUUUAAUACUCAUUUAAUAAUAAUUGUGGCCAUUAAACAGGCUCCUUGAAUUUUGAAGAGUAGUUCACCGACGGAUUUCGCGAAGAGUGUGUGGUAUUUCCUAAAUGCACUUCAACACCAACACACAUAUUUUUCUAGAAUCUCUUGAUAGAGUAGUGUUCCACAGGAUGUAGUUUGCUCACGUUGGUCUAGGUAACCUGUUACACCGAUUUAGGUAACUUUUUUGUAUACGGUGAAUGAAGUCACACUGCAGUUAUUGUUUUUCCUUUUUAACUCAUUUCAUCAUUACCGUCAUUAGGCUGCAGUCCAUUUAACCCUUUGAUUCAUUGUUUCUCUGUGAAGUGUAGGCAGCUUCACGGCGACAGAAAAAAUAGGACAGAGAGAGAAUCAUGUCUCAGGGUCAAAGUAGGCGUAUUGAUCUACCUAGAGCUAUUCUGGAAUGUUUCUGUUUCCUGUUCUCAUUUACACUCAGAGAAGUCUUCACGGUCCAAUGGGUGAAACUCGGUUAAAAUGUGAUAGAUUCUUUUGAUUUUAUAGGAUCAAAGAGGCUUUCUACUCAUUAAACUUCUCACAGUAACAUUCUUUCUUAAGUCUGUUUUCAAAUUUAAGAGCUCAGGGGAAUGGAGUUUGCUGAAAGUCUAUCAUUUAGAGAAUAUCGAAGCUGCAUUACAUUAUGUCAAGUUCAGUCUUCCCAUUGCUCCAUUUUGAUUCUCCUCCUAUGUAAUUAUUGCUUGGAGAACAAGCAACUGACCUUUUCCUCCUUUCCUGUUUCAGCACAAAAAGAUGGAAUUAAUCCUUUUACAUGAAAUUAGAACUGUGAAUUCUAAGACCCUAAUCCAAAAUGUCCCUGUCUUGAUUAUGGUUUCUCACUGCAGUUUUCUCUUUUGUAGAAUGGAACGAAGUCUUCUUACCUGGAAAAAAUGGAUAAAAUGAAAAUAAAUAAACAACAUGUGGGCUUUCAUUUAUGUUUUCCUUUGUGUUCUGCAAAACUAAUGGAAACUUCAAAUGAAUGUUUUUCUCAGGUCAAUUAUCAGUAACAAUAAUGGGACACAGUAUAGUGUGAUAUUUAAGUGGAACACAUUCUAGAAUCUGAUUACCUGGGUCCGCACUGUGCCCCAGAAGAUUUUGCACAUGCAAAAUCGAACCUCUCUGGGCCUCAGUUUCCUUCUCUCUAAGAUGAGGUUGUAGUCAUAAUCCUUAUCUCCUAUUGUAAGAUUUAAAGAUAAUCCACAUAAAGCAAUUAGGGACAGUUAAGCACUCAACAAUAUUAGCUAUCAUCACUACCAUCUGUACUUUUAAGUUUCACUUACCAGUUUUUUCUACUAGAAGUUUACGAAAUCCAAACAUGUAGAAAUAUGUAGGUAGCCCCCUUGAGCAUUAAAAUACUUGUGUUGUUGUUGUUGUUGUUAGAGAACACAGACGUACAAAUGUAACAUUUUUUCCUCUAACCUAAUUAUCUGUUGACUCAAUAAAUGAAUUCAUCAAUUCAACCUCUUAUUUCAGAUCCUUUGCAAAGAGAAUAUCAUGUGCCUGUGCCCUAUGAACUUUUUCUUUCUUCUUUUGUUUUCUUCUCUGAUGAGCUACAAAUCAGGACAAAUGUAGUAGGUGUCAGAAAUAAUUUACCUACAUGUGUGUAAUGAGUUUGGACAAACGCAUGAGCAACAUAUCUCUUUCUUCCACAUGGGAGGACCAGCACCAGGUCCUUCUUUCCAGCUGGAAGGGCUCAUGAACUGCUAGCUUUGCGGGUUCAGCUUGACAUCUCCACUUCCAGGCCAGCUAGUAGUCAC